AUUGAACGCUGGCGGCAGGCUUAACACAUGCAAGUCGAGCGGAGAUGAGGUGCUUGCACCUUAUCUUAGCGGCGGACGGGUGAGUAAUGCUUAGGAAUCUGCCAUUUAGUGGGGGACAACAUUCCGAAAGGAAUGCUAAUACCGCAUACGUCCUACGGGAGAAAGCAGGGGAUCUUCGGACCUUGCGCUAAAUGAUGAGCCUAAGUCGGAUUAGCUAGUUGGUGGGGUAAAGGCCUACCAAGGCGACGAUCUGUAGCGGGUCUGAGAGGAUGAUCCGCCACACUGGGACUGAGACACGGCCCAGACUCCUACGGGAGGCAGCAGUGGGGAAUAUUGGACAAUGGGCGGAAGCCUGAUCCAGCCAUGCCGCGUGUGUGAAGAAGGCCUUUUGGUUGUAAAGCACUUUAAGCGAGGUGGAGGCUACUAGUACUAAUACUACUGGAUAGUGGACGUUACUCGCAGAAUAAGCGCCGGCUAACUCUGUGCCAGCAGCCCGCGGUAAGAC
rnacentral:rRNA from 1 species